rnacentral:tRNA from 1 species
UAGGGGGCGGGUUGUUCACCGGCGUCGUUCAUGGCGGCGCGGCACCACUGCAGGCCGGUGCCGUUCGGAGCGGCAUCGCCUACC